UGGGAUAUCGCCAAGCGGUAAGGCUUCAGAUUCUGACUCUGACAUCAAACGUUCGAAUCGUUUUAUCCCAACCA
rnacentral:tRNA from 1 species